AAUAAAUAGCAGAAGGAGUGAAUAAUUGAAGGAAAAUAAGUAAUUUUCCUACAAAGACCAUGUAAUUACACUUGAAUGUUUAAUUGAAAGUACUUUUCAUUUUUAAAAA